rnacentral:rRNA from 1 species
UACGUAGGGCGCAAGCGUUAUCCGGAAUUAUUGGGCGUAAAGAGCUCGUAGGCGGUUUGUCGCGUCUGCCGUGAAAGUCCGGGGCUCAACUCCGGAUCUGCGGUGGGUACGGGCAGACUAGAGUGAUGUAGGGGGAGACUGGAAUUCCUGGUGUAGCGGUGAAAAUGCGCAGAUAUCAGGAGGAACACCGAUGGCGAAAGGCAGGUCUCUGGGGGCAUUAACUGACGCUGAGGAGCGAAAAGCAUGGGGAGCGAACAGG